UUGGUACUACAUGUACAGGAUAGGUGGGAGGCUUUGAAACCAGGACGCCAGUUUUGGCGGAGCCAUCCUUGGGAUACCACCCUUGUAGUACUGGGACUCUAACCAUAGGCCAUGAAUCUGGUCUUGGGACACUGUCAGGUGGGCAGUUUGACUGGGGCGGUCGCCUCCCAAAAGGUAACGGAGGCGCUCAAAGGUUCUCUCAGUACGGUCGGAAAUCGUACGUAGAGUGUAAAGGCAAAA
rnacentral:rRNA from 1 species